ACGCGACUCCAGGUCUCCAAAGGCCGCCGCCGCCUCCGCGAGGAAAACCCUAAUUCUUGGUCUAUAUAAAUAUGGGAUUCAUGAGAUACGAACGUUGUCCUCGGGUUUCCUGUGAUCUUGUUUGGUUUCGCCAGCGUCUUUUGGUUUCUUCUCGCGGAAGCUCUGUAUAAGAUUUAGAGAUUUUACUUGUCUCUCCAUCAAAGUGGAGGUUGCUGUGACGACUCUGGAAAAUUCAAGCUCAACAGACCGGAUCGCAGGUCUCGCUUUCUGGAGGGAUUUGUAUGUCGACUGCCCCGCUGAACUGAACAAGCUCCCACAUUCCUUUUUGUUUUCAUUCGUGAUUUCUCAAAAAUCUAUAUUUUCAUCUAUUUGAUGCGGCUUUUUGUGUUCUUACGUCUAUGUAAUUAUCCCUCUUUGGUGCCCGAGGCAGAGGGUGUCUGAUUUCUUGUGAGUUGUUUCCUUUUUCGUCAAAAAAAGAUUUUUCAAAAUCUAUAUUUUAGCCGAUUUUGUGUUAUACAUCACUAUUUCUCGGAGAUUUGUGCGUCGAAUAAAAGAAGAUCAAACCUUCCUUUAUUGAGUUUUGAUACGGCGGUAAAACUCGCAGCUCUUUACGGUUUCAUGUUGUUGUUGUUGUUUGAUAAAUCGGAUUGUAGAUCUCCCUCUCAUUGAUUGAGGGAUUUUGGUCGGCUUUGACGCGUUUUGUUACUUAGCUUUCUCUCAUGAAGAUAACAGAGCUCCCUCUUCUGAAAUGCGACUUUGAGGACGCUCGCUGGCAGAGUCGAACCAUUAUUUAAAAUCGCCAUCACUGAGACUUUCAUGUUUUAUUUAUUUUUUAAGAUCUAUUUAAUCUGUUUGAUAAAUUAUAAUUAUUUUGAUGGAAAAAUGGUACGUCUUUUUACACUUUUUUUCUUUCAGCUAAAUGUUCGAAUCAUUUGCAACCUAAAAGAUAGUGAUGAAGUAAAAAGAUCUAUAUCCAACACUUGAUCUGAGGAUCAAAGAUUCCACUGAUGUAACAUUUCUUUUGCUUCUGAAUCUGAAUCUACUUGCUUAUGUCACUUUGAUUCACUUUGAUUUCAAUGGAGAAGUUUGUUUUUUUAUCACAAUUUUGAUCUGUGGAAGUAUUUGUGCAAUGCGUCAGAUGAUGAAAGUUUGAAGUGUAAUCUUAGGACACCUUCCUACACUGCCCAAGAUUUCCUUGGGUUGUGGAUGAGAAAAACAUGUUCAAUCUGAUGAUGGUCAUGGCCUUCCGAAACACUUUUAAUUGAUUAUAUAUCUACGUUUUGCACUAUACGCUUCUUGAAUCAAUAUUGUUAAUAAUAUAUUCGGAAAUGAGGCUGUUUGUAUUCACGUGCAUAAAGCAGAUAUUUAUUCAGCAUCUGUUUGAUGUCCACAUUUUUGUAGAGAUAUUAUGAUCCUUUGCAAUUGUCAUUUUUUAAUCAAAAACCUCGUAUAACAAUUUCUGAUGUGCCUUAGUCUAAAAAUUUGCAUGGUGGUCUUCUUUAGUCGUCUGAAGUAGGAUGUUUAGAAAAGUUGUAUGUGUCGGCUUAUGAUGAUAUGCUUAUAAAAGUUGGAAUUACCGACUGAUAAUCCUAUUGUAUGAUGUCAAUUGAUCUGGCUGUCUGAGGCUGAUACUAUUAUCCAGCAUUGUAUUAUGAAGUCUUUAUUCUUCUUUGUACAUGGAGUAUUAUUUUUUCUUUUGGUUUUCUCACAAAGGAUAAAGAAUUGCAUACACAAAGCAAUGUUUAUGUUUUUGGUGGUUGUAGCUUGUCGCUGUGAAAUAUUUUGGCAGUCUAAUAUGUAGAAAUUUUAUUCAUGUUAUUUUAAUUGAGGUUUUAUUUGUCAUGCUUUAAAUUGUGAAUUGGAGAAAGUUUUUAAUUAUUUAGUAGGUAUCAAUUCUGAAGAGUUUAUGGAUCCCAAUGAAGAUGAAAUGGCCUCUUGAUAGGAAGUGCCGUAUGACACUUGUAAUGCAGUUGCCCUGUCCAGUCCUUGGCCUUUUCUCCUCUUGACCAUGCCUCCCUCAAAUCCUACCAUAGGUUUGAGUUUCUGGGGUGUUGUUCAAAGGGGAAUUUGAAGUUCAAUGGACUUGGAGUUCAGCUGUGUGUGUGAUUUUAAAUCGGUCACUGAGGGCUCUUUUAACCUGUUGAAAGUUACUCCACUUUCAUUGGUUUUGUAUAACCUUUCUUUGGCAUUUUGCAUGUUGAUAGGAAUCUGUGGACAAGAUCACUGUCCAUCCAUGGAGUUGAUUUCUGUGAUCACAGAUAGUGAAUGUUUUCUGUCAUUUGUUAUUUUAGAAUGCUGUUUUCUAUAUGGUCUAGGCAAUGCCAUUUGUUUUAUCUGUUAUGCAACUCGUUAUUGUUGUUAUAUUUGAUAGUCUGCUAUGCCAUGCAACUCUUAUUGUUCAUGUUUUUGUCAUAUCCCAUUAUCUUAUAAGCUACUGGUCUUGUAGCAAACCUAAAGCUUUACAGAGAUAAAAGUAAUUAGGAAUUAGUGGAUUACCAUUUGCAUGACGAUGGCUUACCUGGUCAUUGUUAGUUCAGAGAUAAAAAAACAGUAAAGGUUUUUUAUGAAGGCUUUACAGAGAUAAACCUAAAGCUUUACAGAGAUAAAACCUAAAGGUUUUUUAAGGUUCAGAGAUAAACCUAAAGCUUUACAUUGGUAAAAGCUUUACAGAGAUAAAAAAACAGUAUUAUGAAGGCUUACCUGGUCAUUGUUAGUUCUAUCAAAUGUUGGUUCAACUCUUAUUGCAUGUCUCUGUAACUGAUAUUUUAGUUUACUGUCAUUUGACUAUAAGGGUUGAAAUGUUCAAUUUUAAUUGACAUUAAUACCCUUUGGAACUUUGUCAAAUGAUCACUCUGUUCAAACUCCAAUAAUUUCUUAUCAGACCAUAAGAACUCUUAAUUCUUUCUAUUAUUGGUUUGAGUUCAUUGAUACUUCUGGGAUGAAGAAACUGUAUCCUGCAAGUGACGACAAGAUAGACAGGGACAUCUAACUCUUUACAGAGAAUGAUGACUUGGUCUAUGGGAAUCUCUCUGAUGCAUGAGACUGUUUUCUCCCCUGUCUAUUCUGUAUUUUGUGACUGUUUUUCUUCUACGGCAUGAUGCUUUUUUGGUGCAUCUAUUCGAUAGGCAAUUGUAAUUGUAUCAUAUAAGUUCUGCCUGUGAUGCACAAAAAGUGCAUGUAUUAUCAGAGCUGAUUUUGACCUUUUUUCUCCUUUUGACCAUGCCUCCCUUAAAUCCUACCAUAGGUUUGAGUUUCCGUGGGCGUGUUCAAAGGUGAAUUUGAAGUUCAAUGGACUUGUGAGUUUGGCUGUGUGUGUGAUUUUAAAUGGGUCACUGAGGGCUCUUUUAACCUGUCGAAACGGAAUCUGCUUUCGUUGGUUUUGAAUAUCCUUUCUUUUCUAAGGUGUUUUUGUUUAACUUUGUGGUCUGAAGCCGUGUCAACAGUAGCAUAUGCAUUGACUGGUGGUGCUAUGAUCGGGCCCAAAUAUCACUGUCCACCCAUGGAGCUGAUUUUUGUGGUCACAGAUAGUGAAAGUUUUCCGUCAUUUGUUAUUUUAGAAUGCUGUUUUUUUAUAGUCAGGCAAUGCCAUUUGUUUUAUCUGUUAUGCAACUUGUUAUUGUUGUUAUAUUUGAUAGCCCGCUAUGCCAUGCAACUCUUAUUGUUCAUGUUUUUGUCAUAUCCCAUUGUCUUAUAAGCUACUGGUCUUGUAGCAAACCUAAAGCUUUAAAGAGCUAAAAGUAAUUAGGAAUUAGUGGAUCACCAUUUGUAGAAAUUAUCCUGCAUGUUUGCAUUUUAUUUGCUGAUAUUCAGGAAUUGGGCGUACCAGGUCAUUGUUAGUUCUAUCAAAUGUUGGUUCAACUCUUAUCGUGUGUAAACACUUUAGAACUUUGUCAUUAUGAACACUCUGUGUAAUGUUCAAUUUUUAUUGACAUUAAAAACCCUUUAGAACUUUGCCCAAUAAUUUCUUAUCAGAUCAUAAGAACUCUUAAUUCUUUCUAUUAUUGGUUUUUGAGUUCAUUGAUACGUCUGGGAUGAAGAAACUGUAUCCUGCAAGUGAUGACAAGAUAGACAGGGACUCGGCACUCUUUACAGAGGAUGAUGACUUGGUCUAUGGGAAUCUAUCUGAUGCACAAGAUUGUUUUCUCCCCUUAGUCUAUUAUAUAUUUUUUGACUCUUUUUCUUCUACAGCAUGAUGUUUUUUGGGUGCAUCUAUUCGAUAUGCAAUUGUAAUUGUAUCAUAUAAGUUCUGCCCGUGAUGCACAAAAAAUGCACGUAUUAUCAGAGAUGUUGUGAUGAUAUACUAGUUGUCACUACCGCUGAGGCAGUCAAUUUGACCAAAGCUUCGCUUUGGUCAUAUUGCAUCUCUAGUUCAUUACUUCCUUUUUUGUUGGUUUGUUUGUUUGUUGAUCUGAGCUAGUAUGCAUUGAUCAUUUGAAUGAUAACUUGGUUCAUGCAUUGUCUUAACUAUGCAAAAAUUGUUUUUGUAAAACACUGUGACAAUGAAGUGUUAUUUUUUAAAACACCCUGUCAUCUUUCAAGAUUCCACUACCUUAUAUAUGCGAUGUUCAUUUUAAUGUUCUGAGAAACUUUUGAUUUUAGGAUCUAAUAGGCUUUUUAAACCCUUAUUUUUGUUAUCUAAUACAAGUACCUGAUUGGUUCAUGCAAGACUUGUAUCUUGCAUUUUCCUGUGAAUGAUUAGUGCCUAUGAUGGUUUUAAAUAUACUACGAGUGACUACAAUGAUAAGGACUAUAUCUGAGGCACAAUCAUCUGGUUUCACUUAUUUUUAUAGGUUAUUUGAAUUUUAAAUGUUUGUCUUUGUAAUAUGAGUAAAUUAGUUGGUGUUGUAUCUGCAAACGAACUUUUGAUGUUGGGUUUUUCGUUCGGGAACUUGUGGCAGGGUUACUCAAGUUUUUAGUUUCAAUGCCUAAUUCAUCUGCCAUUCUUCUAGACCAAAUUUGUGUCUUACAGUCAUGCAAUAGAUUUGCAAUCCUUGUUUUAACAUCUAAAUGUAUUUUAUUAUUUUUCCUUUUUUAUAUUUUUCGUGGAAGGAUUUCAUAGGGCCGGUUAACUUUGUAGGAUGGUUUCUUUGAAUGUGUGAAAUGUUCAUAUUUGUUAUUUUGACAUGAAUUUUUAAUGCUGAUUAUAAAAUUUGGCUCAGAUCUUGGUUGAGUGCCAAUGGCCAAACACAAUGCCAUCCAGAUUUGGAACAACCAACUUAUUUCAAAGCUGGUGUAUUCACAAGUCUUUCCGUUGGAAUUGAUAUUGGGAUGUUCAUAUGCAAGGUAUCGUCAUCAGCUGCUAACUUGUGAUCCAGCGUUGGCAUGAGUCAAUUGUCAAAGUCAACCCAAAAGUUUGGCAUGAGUCAAUUGUCAAAGCGUUGACUUGUGAUCCAGCUGCUAACUUGUAUAUCAUUCAAAGUCAAUAAUGAUAUCACUAAAAUCCUGAUAUCAGGGAAAUACGAGCAACUUUAAAGUCUUGGCGUUAUAAAUAUCUUGUUUGGACAUAACUAGCAGAAUAUCACUCCUUGAGUUUGUAAUACAUUGUAACUCUUUGUUUGUGUUUUGUCUAUUUUCUUGGAUUAAGUUGUCAUUCCUACUAAUAGAA